UUGUGUAAAACAAAUAGUAAGACUUAAUAUUGUAAUCAAUUAUUAAAUUCAACUUUGGUUGUUAUCAAGAUAGGAGAAAUAACUAGGGUACACGUGUUCCCCAUAAUCUCAUAACGCAGUAAUCCUAGUAAUAGCAAUCCUUUUCUAGUGUAUUACAUGCAAAGUGAUAAGUUAGGUAUCUCUAAAUCCUUGGUCCGGCAUCUAGAGAAUUUCACCCCGCACCUUGGUCCGGC
rnacentral:lncRNA from 1 species